CAAACACACAGCAUCUUGGUUCAAAGGCAGUAAAUACAUUCCCUGCCAUCAACAUGACAACCCCCAUCUGUUCAAGGCUAGGUGGUUUGGGGAAGAGAAUUAGACUCCUCCAGCCGGGACCCACGCCGGAAAUCGUGCCAGUUUAUGAAGUUCAGAAGGCAAGGCAAGUGAAAGAACUAGGAAGCAGGCAUGUUCGGAGACCCGGCAUUCGCAGGGCGGUGAGAAGUCCUCAAGCUGUAGCAUCUGAGAUCUCCUCCACAGUAAAAGAAAUGCAGGCUCCAGUUCUCACUGAAGAUGAAAAGAUGCUGCAAAAUUAUGUACCAGUAUACGUGAUGCUGCCUCUGGAAGUCAUAACUGUUGACAACGUGUUGGAAAACAGAACUGGACUCGAGAAGCAGCUCAAGGAGCUGAGAACAGCAGGUGUUGAUGGGGUUAUGUUGGAUGUCUGGUGGGGAAUUGUUGAAUCUAAAAGGCCUAAGCAGUAUGAUUGGAGUGCCUAUAGGAGCCUGUUCCAACUUGUUCAAGAGUGCGGACUUAAAUUGCAGGCUAUAAUGUCAUUCCACCAAUGUGGUGGCAACAUAGGGGACGCUGUGAACAUUCCGCUUCCCCAGUGGAUACUUGACAUUGGGGAAUCGGACCCUGACGUCUUUUAUACUAAUAUGAAAGGUAACAGGAAUAAGGAGUACCUUACGAUAGGCGUGGAUAACCUGCCUUUAUUUGCUGGCCGAACGGCUGUCGAGAUCUAUACUGACUACAUGAAGAGCUUCAGAGACAACAUGUCAGACUUCUUGGAAGCUGGAUUCGUAAUUGACAUCGAAGUAGGGCUUGGACCGGCAGGGGAGCUCAGAUACCCAUCUUAUCCCCAAAAUCAAGGAUGGGCUUACCCUGGUAUUGGAGAAUUUCAGUGCUAUGACAAAUAUCUGCAAGCAGAAUUCAAGGAGGCUGCAAUAGGUGCUGGGCACCCCGAAUGGAAAUUACCAGAUAACGCAGGAGAAUAUAACGACACACCUGAAUCUACAGGGUUCUUUAGACCAAAUGGAACAUAUCUUACUGAAGAAGGGAAGUUCUUCUUGACUUGGUAUUCUAAUAAGUUGCUGAGCCAUGGGGAUCAAAUCCUUGAUGAAGCCAAUAAAGUAUUCCUGGGUUGUAAAGUCAAGUUAGCUGCCAAAGUGUCGGGAAUCCAUUGGUGGUAUAAAGAUGACAGUCAUGCUGCAGAACUGACUUCAGGAUUCUACAACUUGAAAGACAGAGACGGGUAUCGACCCAUUGCAAGGAUAGUUUCGAGACAUUAUGCCAUUUUCAAUUUCACAUGUCUUGAGAUGAGGGACUCUGAGCAAAGAGCUGAUGCUAAAAGUGGACCGAAGGAACUCGUUCAGCAGGUCUUAAGUGGAGGCUGGAGGGAGGAAGUUGAAGUUGCAGGUGAAAAUGCACUUCCACGAUAUGAUCGUGCAGCUUAUAAUCAAAUUCUCUUAAAUGCUAGGCCAAAUGGUGUCAACAGAGAUGGACCGCCAAAAUUGAGGAUGUACGGGGUGACGUACCUUCGUUUAUCUGAUGAUCUACUGGACUGGAACAAUUUCAGGAUAUUCAAGACUUAUGUGAAGAAAAUGCAUGCUGAUCAGGAUUUCUGUCCAGAUCCAAGAAAGUACAACAAUUAUGUGGGUCCCUUGGAGCGGUCAAAACCAAAAAUUCCCAUUGAGGAUCUUCUAAAAGCAACUGAACCAAUGGAACCAUUCCCGUUUGAUGAAGAAACAGACAUGAGUGUUGGGGGUGAAAUUGCAAUUUUGUUGGACAAUUUGAUUGACAAGAUCACGUCUAUAUUUAAGUAAUCCACAGGUCCAGAAUACAAAACUUCAGUCAAGCAGUUACUCACAGAUAGUCACCACAAAACAAAGUCCAUCUCCUCAAUGAUAGAAUGAUUAGAACCUAUAGAUACCUGAGAAGGUCCAAUGCCGCUAACGUGCUAAGUUAGUAGUGAUGAACUUUUUCUGACCAGCAAAAACAGAAAGUAGGAGGGGUGACCUGCAUGUGGCAACCCUCACAAGGGGCCCGAAUGGGAAGGAGCCUAAGGCGGUCCUUCAAAACGGGCUUGAGCCAUCAUCUGACUGCAGCCCUAACGAGGCCAUAGACGCAAGAAGCCGGUGGCCUAACAAUUAAUGGGCCUGCGUUUCCCAUCUUUAUAAAUCCUAACACAAGCCUCUCCUGGUUCGCUGUUUUUCUCAUGGAAACAAUGAAGGUCCAUGAUGUUAAAUAGAAGAUAUAUCUCAAGCAUUCUAUUUCU